AUUGAACGCUGGCGGCAUGCCUUACACAUGCAAGUCGAACGGUAACAGGUCUUCGGAUGCUGACGAGUGGCGAACGGGUGAGUAAUACAUCGGAACAUGCCCGAUCGUGGGGGAUAACGCAGCGAAAGCUGUGCUAAUACCGCAUACGAUCUACGGAUGAAAGCGGGGGAUCGCAAGACCUCGCGCGGACGGAGCGGCCGAUGGCAGAUUAGGUAGUUGGUGGGAUAAAAGCUUACCAAGCCGACGAUCUGUAGCUGGUCUGAGAGGACGACCAGCCACACUGGGACUGAGACACGGCCCAGACUCCUACGGGAGGCAGCAGUGGGGAAUUUUGGACAAUGGGGGAAACCCUGAUCCAGCCAUGCCGCGUGCAGGAUGAAGGCCUUCGGGUUGUAAACUGCUUUUGUACGGAACGAAAAGGUCCUUUCUAAUAAAGAGGGCUCAUGACGGUACCGUAAGAAUAAGCACCGGCUAACUACGUG
rnacentral:rRNA from 1 species